UCCUGCGUGAUGAGACGGACGGAUGUGUGUGGGUCGCAGAUAAGCAAUGAAGUAUUGCCACAAGGUGAAUCAUCAACCAUCACGGCUCCCAGGAUGGCAUUUAAUUGAUAUUCUUUCGUCGUGAUUUUACAAUCACAGCACAGAUAACAUCACACUCCACUUAUCCUCAAAAGGGUCGCAAACAGAUGGUGGUGCCCCGGGAGAUACUUUGAAGUGGGCAAAGGCUGCUUUCCAGAGCCCCUUAAUCGAGCUUGGCAGGCACCCGGUAUGAAGCGGCAGAGAGUCUGUGGCAAAUCAAGACUAUGAUUCUAAACUGGUACGGCGGCAAGUACAACCACACACAAAACUGUUGUUGUCCAAACUAAGCCAAAUGAAGCUAAGACGUGGAAACGAGCCAUUGGCUUGGAAGCAUCUGGCCAUUUGCCUCUACAUUGUAGGAAAUGCAAAUGGGGGGAAAAAAGUUCCUUAAUUGUUAAGAAAACUGCCUUCAGUUUCUGGGAAGACUCUCUUCAAGAUGUUGGAGUGAGGGGUCUCAAUACAGCACCAUACCAUUUUUGUAAUUCCUCAAACUCAGAAAACAGUAUAACUGAUUUGUUGGCUGAAGCAACUAUUACAACUCAAUUCCGACAAAACACAGGCUGGUCUACGAAGUACAGAGCACAAUGACUCCAGAUGGAGGACCAAAGGUGAUGGAUUGGAUUUAAAAAAAA